rnacentral:rRNA from 1 species
AGCCGGAAAUAUUCUCAGAUUUGAAAUCUGGCCCCCUUCGGGGUCCGAGUUGUAAUCUGCAGAGAGUGCUUCGGGCGAGACCGCGGUCUAAGUCCCUUGGAACAUGGCCUCAGAGAGGGUGAGAAUCCCGUAUGCGACCGUGGCUCGAGCCCGUGUGAAGCCUCUUCGAAGAGUCGAGUUGUUUGGGAAUGCAGCUCAAAGUGGGUGGUAAAUUUCAUCUAAAGCUAAAUACUGGCUGGAGACCGAUAGCGCACAAGUAGAGUGAUCGAAAGAUGAAAAGCACUUUGGAAAGAGAGUCAAAAAGUACGUGAAAUUGUUGAAAGGGAAGCGCUUGCAACCAGACCUGCCCGUAGGCGAUCAGCCGCUGUUCUCAGCGGUGCACUCGCUCUGCGAUCAGGCCAGCAUCGGUUUCGGCGGUUGGAUAAAGGCCUUGGGAAUGUAGCUCCCCCUCGGGGGAGUCUUAUAGCCCUCGGUGCAAUGCGGCCAGCCGAGACCGAGGACCGCGCUUCGGCUAGGAUGCUGGCGUAAUGGUUGUAAGCGACCCGUCUUGAAACACGGACCAAGGAGUCUAACAUCGAUGCGAGUGUUUGGGUGUAAAACCCAUGCGCGGAAUGAAAGUGAACGGAGGUGAGAACCCUGAAGGGCGCAUCAUCGACCGAUCCAGAUGUCUUCGGAUGGAUUUGAGUAUGAGCAUCGCUGUUGGGACCCGAAAGAUGGUGAACUAUGCCUGAAUAGGGUGAAGCCAGAGGAAAUCUCUGGUGGAAGUGUCUCGCAGCGGUUCUGACGUGCAAAUCGAUCGUCAAAUUUGGGUAUAGGGGCGAAAGACUAAUCGAACCAUCUAGUAGCUGGUUCCUGCCCGAAGUUCCCCUCA